UACGUAGGGGCUAGCGUUGUCCGGAAUCAUUGGGCGUAAAGCGCGUGUAGGCGGUCCGGUAAGUCCGCUGUGAAAGUCGGGGGCUCAACCCUCGAAUGCCGGUGGAAACUGUCGAGCUCGAGUCCGGAAGAGGCGAGUGGAAUUCCUGGUGUAGCGGUGAAAUGCGCAGAUAUCAGGAGGAACACCAAUGGCGAAGGCAGCUCGCUGGGACGGUACUGACACUGAGACGCGAAAGCGUGGGGAGCAAACA
rnacentral:rRNA from 1 species